CUUUCUUGUCAAGUCACGUGUCAGCAUGAUAUGUGCUCUUGUUUCCAUUUGUAGUAAGAGCUGUAUUGAUCGACUGCGUAUCAGCAAGCUUUGGUAAGUGAGCCAGGGUGAUGCCACUAACGUUUCAGAUGUGAACACCUCAUGGAGAAGGAAGUCUUGCCUGGAAGUCAUUUACCAAUGGCUUCACCAGAAUUACGUAGAAAUUGGCAUCAAAUCCUAGAAACAAAUAUUGUCGACAGACACUGAUUGCAGGGAGUGAAAUGUUGUUUUAAACAGGCAGAGUGAGGACAGCCUGCUGCAGAGUUUGGGUCAUCAGUGUGGUCAUUAAGCAGACAGUAAUGGGCCAUGAGAGAGGCUGUUCUGCUCUGGCGCCGGGCCGGCCGACCUGUGGAUCCCACCAACAUUAUCAGUCGACCGAUCGCACCAUUAUGCCCUUGAUCGAGGGGAACUCUGGAUGUUUUCUGGAGGAGAGCGAAAGGGUUCACAGUGUGCUUCAAACCUGCAGACUGAACAGCGAGCAGGAAAGCAAAAGGUCACGGACAUCUACAUGCGGCAUGUAAAGUUGAACGUGAGAGAUCACUGUGGAAGAAAAGACAAAGAUUGCGUAUGAAAAGAUGACAGAAAUGCACUCGGCACUACAAACUCAAAUGACAGUAAAUGUCAACUUAGCCACUCACUGCUGCCACUCCUUCAUAUUUAUUUAAUUUCCUGCCAGAGACUUGUCUGUUGGGUGACUUCUUGUGAAAAGGAAAUGUGUUUCUUUUGCCUUGAUUCCCUAAUGAGGAAUACAAAAAAGAAAAGUCAUAUCUACAAGAUUGUUUCAGGGAAAGAAAUAAACCAACAAACUGAUCAAUGACAUCCCUGUUCUUCUAGCAAAUUCAGCCUGCUCAUUAUUUCUUUACCCCAUCUGCCCUGUGU